GAUCUGUUAGGAUUUCAUAGAUACGAUGAUGGCUUUUUAAAACAUAAUAUUGUAAAAGUACAUAAUUUGGAAGUAUUCAUUAUCAUUGAUUGAGGCUUAACUUUAGGAUAGAAAUAAUUCUUGAUUCUCUUUUAAUAAUAGAUAACACAGAACCAUCCAGACAAAAGAAGUGUAUGUUUUACGCCAUUGGAAGUGCGGGUGGCGGAUUGCUGGUUGGAAUUCUAUCCACAUCCAUUGUAUGCCUCUUCGUCAACAAAUGUAAAUGAAGGAACAGAAAUAUGGGCGAAUUAUGUUUUCCCACUCAAACUGACCUAUUAACUGACACGGAACGGAAAACACCGAUUCACUCCAAGAGGGAGAACCUGUAUAUCAUGACCGCACCAACAUCCCGGGUCACUCAAACGUUAAAGCUAAUGUACAAAGUAUCAGCAAUGCAUUUUCCACCGAUCAUCCUGAGCAGCGUUACAGCGAUUGUCCAAAAAUUAGUUUAAGUGCGCAUGAGAACGGAAGUUUAUCGUCACAACUAUCACCAAAUAAUGUGGAAAGGGGAUCUAAAGAAUCAGUGAAUGGUGAGAAAUCUCAGGUUUAUCACACCUUGAACAGGGAUUAUAAGGACAAUUCUAGGAUUCUGGACGUUUUUAGUUGUAUAACGACAGUUGCGAAAUAUCCCGAAAGCUACCAGAAGUCAGAAACAGCCCUGGAUACUAAGAGUAAACAAUAUUCAACAUACGAGAGUCCUGUCCAACUUAGUCAUCUCAAAAGAAUUCAAACUGACCAAGCUGAAUCAAUUGAUUUGUUGGAUGAUAGAGUGGAAAAAUUGCAAGAAGUAAAAGCCACUUCAGAAGAUUCACAUCAGGUGUACCGAACUCUUCAGAAGGAGGAGGGUGUGAUGCCAAGAAAAUGAUCACGUACACAGACCGUUAUCACGACAUUCAUGAUCAGUCAGUUGAUUCAGAUAGUACUGUCUCCCAAAUGGAAUAGGAUGCAAUUUCAAUAACGUCUGUUACGAAACGGACAAAUCCUCUUACCGAUUCAUAAUGCCCUCUGAGUUAACGAGAAUUCAUUCAUUCAUGAAAAUUGUGUAAUGUAUCACAUUUGUGAUACAAUACACAAUUAUCAUGUAUUAAUAAAUUGUGGCAGUAAAAAUAUCAGUAAUUUUCAGAACUUAUCAGCAUUCACAGGAAAAUAUCAGUGAUUAUCAGCAAUUAUCAGGAAAAAAUGACAUUGUCCGUAGAUUUCCAUCCAGUAGUGUAAAUGGAUACACAGGGAUUCAUGGACACUACUACAUAAGUAAAUACACUUUGUAUUUCAUUUUAUCUUUUAUCUUAUUUUGUUUUGUUGAUGCCCAAUAUUUUAUGUAUCAUAUUGGUUUUAUGUUUUUAUAUUUUGACAAUGCAUCAAACAUUUUAUCCGA